UACAGAGGUCCCGAGCGUUGUUCGGAUUCACUGGGCGUAAAGGGUGCGCAGGUGGGUUGGCAAGUUUGAUGUGAAAGCCCCGGGCUUAACCCGGGAAUGGCAUUGAAUACUGCUGAUCUGGAGGAUUGGAGGGGGACUGGAAUUCUUGGUGUAGCAGUGAAAUGCGUAGAUAUCAAGAGGAACACCAGUGGCGAAGGCGAGUCCCUGGACAAUACCUGACACUGAGGCACGAAAGCUAGGGAGCAAACAGG
rnacentral:rRNA from 1 species